rnacentral:rRNA from 1 species
AGUAUGUGGUUUAAUUCGAUGCAACGCGAAGAACCUUACCUGGUCUUGACAUCCCGGAGACCCUUAGGAAACUAGGGGUGCUUCCAUCUGGAAGAAUCUGGAGACAGGUGCUGCAUGGCUGUCGUCAGCUCGUGUCGUGAGAUGUUGGGUUAAGUCCCGCAACGAGCGCAACCCUUGCCUUUAGUUGCCAGCAGUUCGGCUGGGCACUCUAAAGGGACUGCCGGUGUUAAACCGGAGGAAGUGGGGAUGACGUCAAGUCCUCAUGGCCUUUAUGACCAGGGCUACACACGUACUACAAUGGCCGAUACAAAGGGCAGCGACACUGCGAGGUGAAGCCAAUCCCGUAAAAUCGGUCUCAGUCCGGAUUGGAGUCUGCAACUCGACUCCAUGAAGUUGGAAUCGCUAGUAAUCGUGGAUCAGCAUGCCACGGUGAAUACGUUCCCGGGCCUU